AAUUCAAAAUGAAUUUCAAGUUUAGGUUCAUUUUGAGUAAUAAAAUCAAUACAAAAAAAAUCUAGAUCAUUUUUUUCAUAAUUCAUGCAUGAAAGGGUUAACAGCAUUCUUCAUAAGGGUGAUGCUACUUCAAGUGAGUAUACAUGUGGCUGUGCCUGUGCCAUCCCUUACAGAUGCUGAUGAACCACUUUCAUUCAACAUAAGAUAUCUGUGCAUUUCCAAUAAUAACAUUACAUUAAAAAAAAAACAGGCGAAGACACUGCUCAGAAGACCAACGAUGAGUGUGUGACCAUUACAGGGAGUCUCCAAAGCACCUCUAGGAAGGAAGAGGACAAAAAGGACAAACAGACUGACAAAACCAACCAAAAGAACCAGGAACCCUCACAGGGUAAGUAGAGGACGUGAUGUCACUCAUUUGCAGAUAUGUCAAGUGAGGAUCAAACACAUAAGCUACUUCUAGAUUCAACCAAGCUCUUCCUCACUGUUUUUUAACAACCCUAUCUACACUAUAGAUCUGGAAAGAGAGGAUAAGGAAGUCAUAAAGGCUGUGAUUAAAAGUAUUCGUCAACAGAUUGAUGCUUUUCCAGGUGAGUAUGAGCAGAGCUCAUUUCAGCUGUGCCAUCCAUUACUGCUGCUUGAGUACAAAAUAAGUGUACAUUUUAACUGGCAAAAUUACAUCCAAACAGAUAAAGCAACAGCCCAGAGUACAACGAGUGAAUCUUUGACCGUGAGAUCCCAAAGCACCACUAGAAAGGAGGAGGAAAAAAAGAACAAAAUAGUGGCUUUGGAUGUGGCACUAGCAGCCGAGAAAACCAACCAGGAACCCUCACAGGGUGAGUAGAGGACGUGAUGUCACUCAUUUGCAGAUUUGUUUUGCUUUUAGAUUGCUUGUAAUAAAAUACCAUGCUUGUUUGACACUAUAGAUAUGGAAAGAGAGCAGGACAGAGAGAAAGAUAAGGAAGCUAUAAAGGCUAUGAUUCACAGUAUGCGUCAUCAGAUUGAUGCUUUUUCAGAUAUGGAAAGAGAGAAAGAUAAGGAAGCCAUAAAGGCUAUGAUUCACAGUAUGCGUCUUCAGAUUGAUGCUUUUCCAAGUGAGUAUGAGCAGAGCAUUUCAGGAGAGGACAAUCUCAUAUACAGAGAAGUAGGUUCAGGGAAAUACUGUAGU
rnacentral:lncRNA from 1 species